UCUGGGACAAGCCCUGGAAACGGGGUCUAAUACCGGAUACCACUACCGCAGGCAUCUGUGGUGGUUGAAAGCUCCGGCGGUGAAGGAUGAGCCCGCGGCCUAUCAGCUUGUUGGUGAGGUAAUGGCUCACCAAGGCGACGACGGGUAGCCGGCCUGAGAGGGCGACCGGCCACACUGGGACUGAGACACGGCCCAGACUCCUACGGGAGGCAGCAGUGGGGAAUAUUGCACAAUGGGCGAAAGCCUGAUGCAGCGACGCCGCGUGAGGGAUGACGGCCUUCGGGUUGUAAACCUCUUUCAGCAGGGAAGAAGCGAAAGUGACGGUACCUGCAGAAGAAGCGCCGGCUAACUACGUGCCAGCAGCCGCGGUAAUACGUAGGGCGCAAGCGUUGUCCGGAAUUAUUGGGCGUAAAGAGCUCGUAGGCGGCUUGUCACGUCGGGUGUGAAAGCCCGGGGCUUAACCCCGGGUCUGCAUUCGAUACGGGCUAGCUAGAGUGUGGUAGGGGAGAUCGGAAUUCCUGGUGUAGCGGUGAAAUGCGCAGAUAUCAGGAGGAACACCGGUGGCGAAGGCGGAUCUCUGGGCCAUUACUGACGCUGAGGAGCGAAAGCGUGGGGAGCGAACAGGAUUAGAUACCCUGGUAGUCCACGCCGUAAACGGUGGGAACUAGGUGUUGGCGACAUUCCACGUCGUCGUGCCGCAGCUAACGCAUUAAGUUCCCCGCCUGG
rnacentral:rRNA from 1 species